rnacentral:rRNA from 1 species
GUCAGGCGGGGCCACCCGCCGAGUUUAAGCAUAUAAAUAAGCGGAGGAGAAGAAACUUACGAGGAUUCCCCUAGUAACGGCGAGCGAACCGGGAUCAGCCCAGCUUGAGAAUCGGGCGGCGGCGCCGUCCGAAUUGUAGUCUG